rnacentral:rRNA from 1 species
CCUACGGGUGGCAGCAGUGGGGGAUAUUGCACAAUGGGGGGAACCCUGAUGCAGCGACGCCGCGUGGGUGAAGGAGCGUUUCGGCGCGUAAAGCCCUAUCGGCAGGGAAGAAGGAGGACGGUACCUGACUAAGAAGCCCCGGCUAACUACGUGCCAGCAGCCGCGGUAAUACGUAGGGGGCAAGCGUUAUCCGGAUUUACUGGGUGUAAAGGGGGCGCAGACGGCAGCGCAAGCCAGGAGUGAAAGCCCGGGGCCCAACCCCGGGACUGCUCUUGGAACUGCGCGGCGGGAGUACAGUUGAGGUAGGCGGAAUUCGAGGUGUAGCGGGGAAAUGCUUAGAUAUGACGAAGAACUCCGAAGGCGAAGGCAGCCUACUAAACUGCCACUGACAUUGAGGCUCGAAAGUGUGGGUAUCAAACAGGAUUAGAUACCCUAGUAGUC